UCCAAUUGACUUGAGCUUGGUUCAGUAGAGAGUUACAUAAAAGGCGCUUAGCCACUAGACUACUUCACAAGCUUGAUAACAAAUUAACAACAAUUGUAAUAGGCCUAUUUUGACCAGGCCUAAAGCAUACCCAAAUCCAGAUAAAAAAAAAACCAAACAAAACCAAAUACAAUAAAAUAAACCAUUUACACGGCCCAAUUACAACAAAAACUAACCCGAAUUGCCCAAUAACCAAAAAUUACAAACCCAAAUUAUAGACCCAAAAUAUUAAAUACAAAUGGCCCAAUUACACCUAGCCCAAAAACCAAACUGUCCCCCCAAACAUCAAAAACCCUAGCAGCAAGCAGAGCCUCCUGCGCCGCUGCCACGCACAUCUCUCUUCACGUACGUGCCACGUCUGCGCCUCCGUACACUCACG
rnacentral:lncRNA from 1 species